AACCUGCCGAUGGAGGGACCACAGAAGGAUCGUGGGAGAACAACGGGAACUGCAGGAGAGUGGGCCAAAUAAUCAUGGCAACAGGACUUUUAGAAGCCCGUCCUGUGAAAGUCAUUUUCUGCCUGUGUUUGGAAAGGGUCUGUGAGUCUUUCCUCAGGAAGUCAGUAACCCUACCUGGUGAGGUGAUCAAGAGUUUGCUAGCACAAGAGAUGAAGGUACCUCAGAAGUUGCUGGAAGACCGUUCUGUGAAGGGAUUAUGCCAGGUUUCAAUAAUGACCAUGAGGGAUUCAAGGAUUAUGCAGCUGUGUAAUCUACAAUACACCAACUGGCAGUUCCAUUAUUUGAAAGAAAAUCUUCAAGGUAAAGAUGUUUACAAUGACACAAAAACCUUUCAAAGGUAUCAUGGUCCUAAAGGGCUUUCCCCAAGGGAUAGCACAGUGUGUUCCAGGCCCUGA